AGUAUGGGGAAUGACUUUUAGAAUAUUUCCUAUCAUCCUAUAAGUGGAUUGUCGUAUUGUAAAUGUCUGCCGAUACUUGCUCACCAGGUUUUGAAGGGGAGCUGGUGGAGUUCCUGAAAGUGACAUAAAAACUUGGUGAAGGAUCCAGACAACGAUCCACAGUUGUAAGGCUGAUGGAGCUCGAAGGGAAUUCAGGGGACCCUCAGUUGCUACUUCCUGGCUUUAAAUGGAGACGUGCCCACAGCGAGGAAUUGUGGAUGUGAAGAUUCAAGGAUGUAAGAACAUAUUAACCAAGUGAGGUCACGAGUGCUUUACCAGAAUCCACGUACUUCAGGUGAAAAGAAAGGUGUGGGUGGUAGGAGAGAAGCCCCUGGAACCUUCCUCUUGGAUCACUUGGCUGCUGCAGGGGCUGCUGCUCUGCUCUCGGGAUGGGUGCUGUUUGUCCCAGGGGUGUGUAAGUUGGGGCAGCUUGGUGCAAAUCCACCUCCCCUGUUAUGAAAAUAACCCAGUGUGUCUCCCUGGGGUGUCACCUAGUGCUUGACACACAGCAUACAAGCAAGAGGCAGGUCUUAGAAGGCACUAAUUCUAGAGCCCUGAGAGCCCCUCUGAUUUAAACCUUCUCAUCUGAUCAGUCCUCAGAACGGGGACAGACCACGACAGCACCUGACAUCAAGCUUGAUUUUCCAGGAU
rnacentral:lncRNA from 12 species